UACAGGGGGGGCAAGCGUUGUUCGGAAUUACUGGGCGUAAAGGGCUUGUAGGUGGCCAACUAAGUCACACGUGAAAUCCCCAGGCUUAACCUGGGAACUGCGUGUGAUACUGGAUGGCUUGAAUCCGGGAGAGGGAUGCGGAAUUCCAGGUGUAGCGGUGAAAUGCGUAGAUAUCUGGAGGAACACCGGUGGCGAAGGCGGCAUCCUGGACCGACACUGACGCUGAGGAGCGAAAGCCAGGGGAGCAAACGGG
rnacentral:rRNA from 1 species